GGAUUGCUGUGCUCCAUUUAAGAUCCCAGACUGCAUCCCUGGUGAACAUCUAAACUGGGAUGCCUGGAAGACUACCCCUUCCAUUGUUGCUGGGGCCACCUCUGGACCACUGGAGAACACCUGUGCCUCACGGUCACAUUUCAAUAAUAACAUUGUGGUGAAGCUGGACUUGUUCCACUGCCUGAGGCACGGGAAUGCACCUCUGAGCAUCACCCUCUGUUUAGUACUUUCUGCCAGCUCCUCUCCGCAGCCUUCUCUGUGGUGGAUCAGGAGGACCUAGGGAGGCUCCAGGAUGCCUAUCGGUUCUGUGGUAUCCAUCCAGCCAAUCCCACCAAACAGCACAUACGGGAGCACUGCAGGACCAAAGUACCACAACCCACAGAGCUGCUAGACAGAGUGGAGAAAGUCCUAAAGCAUUUUCACCUGGCCAUGGACCCCAACAAUAUCCCACUAUUAAAGUCAUCCAUGCUGAAGACGUGGCGCAUACAGAGAGUGCACAUUCUCCGUGGUUGCCUCAGUGACCCUGAACUCUCAGAGGGCAUAAUGUACCGGUAUGGUGGAACUCUUCAGCUAAAUCACAUACCCGGUGAAGGCGCCAAAGUCCCCAUCUGGAUCCCUGUCAGAGGUACAUCACAGCAGGAAGGGUACCACUUUCACCAGGCCCAGUGGAUCACAGGGACUCAUGUCUCCACUGAAUUGUUCCAGGCCCAGGGCAUGACAGGGGUGGCACAGUGGAACCACCAACAGCUGCUGGACCUUAAGCAGCCAGGUGUCAUCCUUCCUGCUGUGUUUGAUCCAGCUCUAAUGGUUGAGUUAAAUUCUACCUCUAAGAGAGUGACUGGGGAGGAGAAGUAUCCUACACUUCAUCUCUCUGACAGAGACACCGGAGAGAGGUUUGGCCUAGAGUACACAGAGCCAGGCUGCCGUCCAGUCCCUCUGGAUUGGGACAAACACCGAACCCAAAAGAGAGGUGAACCAGCUGCUCUUGUGCCUCUGCCUCCUGUGCAGACACCCACUCCUGCCCAAGCCCAACCCCAAACUCCGGACACAGCACCUUCCUCCAGCCAGACACAGCUCUCCAACACAGCAUCCCCUGGACCAGCAUCAUCCAUUGGCCAUUUGCUCUCUGCUGGUGAACCUCCUGCAGUGAUAGAAAUAUCACAUGCUAAACCUGCUGCAAUCCAUAUGGUACAGAUGUUGUCACAAGGAAGCAUGGGACUUCCAGUUAAAAGGGGUAAGUUAAUACCACUUUCUAAGACCAACAUUUUAAAUAUCAGUGUAAAUGACUUUUUGUACUCAUCAACAUCAUCUCAGUAA
ensembl:lncRNA